rnacentral:misc_RNA from 1 species
CCGUACCUCUCCUCAUCGAGGUUGAGGGGUAAAAUAGUGCAGACCUGUACUCUAAUCUGUUGCCUUUAUUGGGACAGAGGCGAGAGGGUUGCCUGGACCCUUGUUUUUCUGAAUGAAUGUUUCCUCGGUGGGCUUGCCCGCCAAUGAGGACCCUGAUAAACUCUUUUGCAAUCUUGUAUUUUUAUCAGACAAUAUUCUAAAUAUUA